ACUGACGCUGAGGAGCGAAAGCGUGGGGAGCGAACAGGAUUAGAUACCCUGGUAGUCCACGCCGUAAACGUUGGGCGCUAGAUGUGGGUCACAUUCCACGUGAUCCGUGUCGCAGCUAACGCAUUAAGCGCCCCGCCUGGGGAGUACGGCCGCAAGGCUAAAACUCAAAGGAAUUGACGGGGGCCCGCACAAGCGGCGGAGCAUGCGGAUUAAUUCGAUGCAACGCGAAGAACCUUACCAAGACUUGACAUAUUCAGGAAAACUACAGAAAUGUAGUCCCCCGCAAGGGUCUGUUUACAGGUGGUGCAUGGUUGUCGUCAGCUCGUGUCGUGAGAUGUUGGGUUAAGUCCCGCAACGAGCGCAACCCUCGUCCUAUGUUGCCAGCACGUUAUGGUGGGAACUCAUGGGAGACUGCCGGGGUCAACUCGGAGGAAGGUGGGGAUGACGUCAAAUCAUCAUGCCCCUUAUGUCUUGGGCUUCACGCAUGCUACAAUGGCCGGUACAAAGGGCUGCAAUACCGCAAGGUGGAGCGAAUCCCAAAAAGCCGGUCUCAGUUCGGAUUGAGGUCUGCAACUCGACCUCAUGAAGUCGGAGUCGCUAGUAAUCGCAGAUCAGCAACGCUGCGGUGAUACGUUCCCGGGCCUUGUACACACCGCCCGUCAAGUCACGAAAGUCGGUAACACCCGAAGCC
rnacentral:rRNA from 1 species